AAUAUAAUGAGCAGAGCUCACUGUGACUUGGAACAGUGUGCGCAAGAGCCAGAGAUAUGGAAACAAAAGAACAUGGAUUGAAAUGACGAGACUAAGGAAAAUAGAGGAAGAGAAAUGGAAACGGCAGAGUCAAUCAGAAUAACUUCAUGGGUGGUACGUUGGAUGAGGCAACGAGAAAAGAUCUUUUCACAGACACCUUCUGUAAAGUGUGCGGGGCUGUGCUGCAGUUUGAGUCCCAAAGAAUUUCACAUUACGAGGGCAAAAAGCAUGCUCAGAAAGUUCGCCUUUAUUUUCAAAUGCGCAGUGAGCAAGAUGACGGACAAGAACCUGGCAAACAGAAGAGACCAGAUUGUGUGAACUUUCAGGUGGAUGGGAGUGGAGUAGUGGACAAAAACAAAUAUUGCAAUCUUUGCAACAUGAUUUUUACUUCUCCCGUUGUUGCUCAGUCUCAUUACCUGGGGAAAAUACAUGCCAAAAAGCUGAAGCAAUUAUCAGGAGACCAACCUCAAGUGCCUGCACAGAGCACUCAACCACAAACAGGUUCCCCCGCUGGUCCUUCUACAUCUCUGGCACUCCAGCAGCCCUCCGCUGAGAAGCCCUCCCAGGAUCCUAAUGUUGAAGAGUCCACGUCAUCCUCUAGCAUUGCUUUGGAUUUAAAUGAUCCAGACAAGUAUUGCAAGCUCUGCUCAGCUCCCUUCAAUAAUCCAUUGAUGGCCCAUCAACAUUAUGUUGGCAAGAAGCACAAAAGGAACGAAGCCCGGAAGAAGAUGAUGGCGGAGAUGGGAGAGGAAGCUGUUCCUGCGGAAUCCAGCGCAAAUGCAGUUGGAGUUGGUAACUACAUAUGUCCUAUAUGUAACAUCACUCUUACGUCUAUAGAAAUGUACCAGUCCCACAUGCAAGGAAAUAAACAUCAGAUUAAAGAAACCAUGGUUGUCAACCUCAUAAAGAAUUCCAAGAAAACAUAUGACUCCUUUCAAGAUGAAUUAGAAGAUUACAUUAAAGUGCAAAAAGCUAGAGGACUAGAACCAAAAACAUAUUUCAGAAAAGCAGAAGAGGAAGAGUUUGAAAACUACGAGUUAGAAGUAGUAAAUGAUUGUGAUGAUAUUGUAUCUUCCAAUGUUACAUUUGAACAAGGACAGCAUUCCAUCCUCUUUUCAGAAACAUAUAUGUCAUCACAUGCUGUUGAAAACAGAUCGCUGUGCUGGUCACCAGCUCAUGAGAAUAGGCUAAGACUAGAAAACAUGGCUAAAGGUCAUGACAGCAAGGAAUAUUAUUCAGAAAUGCAAACACCUCAGGUGACCCCUUUCAAAGAUGACAGCUAUGGCCUAUCAUCUGCUGAAUCCAGUGACUGCUACAAACACAUCUCUUCUGAUAAUAGCACCCGCUCCUAUAGGAAAGGCCGAAAGCUUCGAAGGAAACAUGAAGAGGGGGAAAGACACACUGGGGAAGGAGAAGAGAAACACAACAAAGAAGCCACAAAGCAGAAGAAAAAGGAAAACAGUGAAGAGACAGAUUCUGGAAAGGACAGUGAAAUGCAAAAGCGAAGAAAGAUUGAUACAGAUUCAACUCACGAGAAAAAAUCAAAGCACAGUAAAGACAAAAGAAUUAAAGAAAUACCCACUGAGAAGGAGAGUAGAAAGCAUAAAAAGGAUAGAAGGAAACCACAGCCUGAUGGAAAAACAGAAGAAGAGAUACUUUGGGAUGAAUCGAUCCUGGGAUUCUAAUAGAGGUUUUGAUUAACUUUAUGAAGUCGGUAUUUUUUGUAGUCUCUCUUAACCAUGGGGUGUACUAUGUUAUGACUCAAUAAUUUUUGUCCCACUCUGUGGAAGCGAGAAAAAGCCUGACUUCUGAAACUAUUGGGUAGUAGAAAGUCUUAAAAACAAACAGAGAACGAUUCCUUCUAGAGAAGGUUCAACCUACAGCUAAAAGAAAGAUGAACUCACUUUGGCAGUCACUCUUGUCAGAUCAAAAGUUGGGCUGAAACGCCAUCUGAUAAAUUUUCAAUAAAUGCAGGAGCAUCUUCAUUUCAGAGAGUUACAGGAAAAGCACGUAACCAGCUUUGCUGCUGUUCCAUGCAUGACGAGCUGCAUGUGAUAAACUGGAGCAGCAAGUUAGGCCUAAAUUCUCGACUUGUGAUUUUGGGGUGUCAAACUUGGAGACCUCUUAAAGGGCCCUGAUUUUCAGAGCAUGCCGAGGACUUGCUCUCUCAAAAUCAGGCUCCAUUAAGGUGUCUCAAGUUGAGCACCCAGAAUCACUACUUGCUUUUGGAACACGUAGGGCUUCAUGUGCCAGCUCUUUCACCUCUAGAGAUGUGGUUGUGUCCCAAGUCAAACUGAACUUUCUGGUCUCAUCUUAGAAUGUGAAAUUCUCUGCUGCACAAACAGGCCGCCUCCUCUAAAGAGGGAAAAGAGGGAGUAUUGCGUGUCAGGACUGAAGUAAUGGGCAGACCCAUGCUGUGAAACUUGCACCAGGCCUUUCUGCUCAUGCAUAGUGCUUUCCUGUGCCUGCCUAGCCCGCUCUCAACUUCAACACCAUUUUUAACCAGUGUGCUUAACAAGUCACCUGCCACACGAUCCCCUCCACAUACAGCCACACUGGUGGUGGCUUCAUUCACAUUAUCUCAUUAAGGCCCCACUCCCACAAGGUACUGAGUGACUACAAUCCUGCCUGAAGUCUUCACCCAAGUACAGGACUACUCCAACAAGAGAUUAGCAGGUGAAUGAAAACAAUCUCUCAUCCUAAGGAAAGAAGAGAGCUCUGGGCAGACCUCACACAUCAACCACACUCCUCUCUCUCUCUCUGCUGUCUCAGCCGUUCCUGUGGCAAAGGUGUUAUGUAGGCUAACACGUGCAAAGCUAUACACACAGUGUGCAGCUUGGCUGUAAGGAGUGGGUGCUUGCAAGGCAUCAGUGGGCCCAUGAAAAUGAGCUUCCCACCACUUGCUGUGCUAUGCUUGCUGGCUUGGUUUGUCGCAUUCAACAUUGAAUAAUGCUGGUGGCUCCCUAUGGAGGUAUGGUGUACAGCGCAGAGAAACAACACAGGGGAGAGGCUAUCUCAGCAUCCCAGAUGAGUUGCCCAACUUUCUACCUAAUUCUUCUGAGAACGUUAAUCCAGAUGAUCUCAUUGGUCCACCAAGCAACAACCCUCUUUCCAGUCCCUAGUUGAGACUCACUUCUUCAGUUGUGCCCUCAAGAAAUGAGCAAACAAUUAUAUCUACGUUACUCCGGGGGAAGUUCUGUGCCAAAAAUUUAAAAAUUAUUUUAAAAGUCUGCAUAUUUUAUUUGUCAAAAUAACACAAUAUAAUCCCACCAGUUGCAGUUAUUUUUGG